UGGGGAAUAUUGCACAAUGGGCGAAAGCCUGAUGCAGCAACGCCGCGUGAGUGAUGAAGGCCUUCGGGUUGUAAAGCUCUGUCUUCUGGGACGAUAAUGACGGUACCAGAGGAGGAAGCCACGGCUAACUACGUGCCAGCAGCCGCGGUAAUACGUAGGUGGCAAGCGUUGUCCGGAUUUACUGGGCGUAAAGGAUGCGUAGGCGGAUACUUAAGUCGGAUGUGAAAAUCCCGGGCUUAACUUGGGAACUGCAUUUGAAACUGGGUAUCUAGAGUGCGGGAGAGGAAAGUGGAAUUCCUAGUGUAGCGGUGAAAUGCGUAGAGAUUAGGAAGAACACCAGUGGCGAAGGCGACUUUCUGGACCGUAACUGACGCUGAGGCAUGAAAGCGUGGGGAGCAAACA
rnacentral:rRNA from 1 species